UAUCAAUCAAUGUGACAGCGGCACGGCGAGAGUGAUUAGAUGUCAAAAACACGUGUUGUUAUUACAGUGAAAAGGGAAAUAAUAUGCGAUUAUUAUAGUUAAAAUGCCUCCAUUCAAGCAAGGAUUACUCAAAAGAAAAGCGGGAUUUGAAGGAUCUCAAAAUGUAUCAUUAAAAGUUUCUAACGAAUCAGAAGAAGAGUCAGAAUCAGAGGAGUUGAUAGCUGGCACACUGGAUGCAGAAGGAGACGCUACCGACUCGGAGCACGAGGCCGGAGAUGUCUCAGAUCAUGAACAAGAUGAGGUACUAUUUGAUGAGAGUGCAGACUCUACAUUUGGAGAUGAUGACCAGCCAGACGACGCUUCAGAUGGAUCAUCAGAGCUAACAGAUUCGGAAGCUGAUGAUGAUUCGGAGGCUGAUGACGACAGCGAGGAGUCGCGGAGCGCGGACAGCGGCGCCGAGUCGCACUCCUCCGCCAGCGACACCAAACCACACAAACAGAAAGCGAACAAGCCAGCUCGCAGCAACAAUAACAGUGACGCCAGUAUAGACAGAUUAGCAGAUACCAUCAAGAGAGCGACUGUUAACAUACAACCAGUAGAACAGAAAGACGAGUACUCGUCGGGCGACACGUCGGACGAGGAGGACCGACGCAACACGCGCGGCGCCGUGCCCGCCUGGUGGUACCGCGACUACCCGCACGUGGGCUACGACCUGGCCGGCCGCCGCCUGCUCAAGCCGCCGCAGCGCGACGCCAUCGACGACUUCCUCAAGCAAUGCGAGGAUCCCGACUUCUGGCGCACCGUGCGCGACCCCAACACGGGCCAGGACGUGGUGCUCAGCAAGCAGGACCUGGAGCUCAUCCAGCGCCUGCGCGCCGGCCACGUGCCCGACGCCGCGCACGACGAGUACGAGCCCUGGGUGGAGUGGUUCAGCCGCGAGGUGCUGGCGACGCCGCUGCGCGCCUUCCCCGAGCACAAGCGCUCGUUCCUGCCGUCGCGCUCCGAGCAGCAGCAGGUGGCGCGCCUGGUGCACGCGCUGAAGAUGGGCUGGGCCAAGACGCGGCGCCAGCUGGCCGACGAGCGCCGCGCCCGCCGCAGCAAGCAGUUCUACAACCUGUGGGGCUCCGGCGACGCGCCGCGCGGCCUGCAGCGCCACAUCCCCGCGCCGCGCCGCGCGCUGCCCUCGCACGCCGAGAGCUACAACCCGCCGCCCGAGUACCUGCUCGACGCCAAGGAGAUGAAGGAGUGGAACAAGCUGAGCGAGACGCCGUGGAAGCGCAAGUACACGUUCCUGCCGACGCGGCACGCCAGCCUGCGCGCCGUGCCGGCCUACGAGCGCUUCACGCGCGAGCGCUUCCUGCGCUGCCUCGACCUGUACCUGGCGCCGCGCGCCAUCAAGAUGCGGCUCACCAUCCGGCCGGAGGAGCUGGUGCCCAAGCUGCCGGCGCCGCGCGACCUGCAGCCCUUCCCCACGAGCGAGGCGCUGCGCAUGCGCGGCCACGCGGGGCUGGUGCGCAGCGCGGACUUCGACCCCAGCGGCCAGUACGUCGUGUCCGGCGGCGACGACGGCACCAUGCGCGUGUGGGAGGCGGCCACGGGGCGCUGCCUGCGCGUGCUGGCGCUGGGCGGCGCCGUGGCGCGCGUGGCGUGGCUGCCGGCGCCGGGGCUGAGCCUGGUGGCGGCGGCCGUGGGCGAGCGCCUGCUGCUGCUGAGCCCGGGCGUGGCGCCGGCGCGGGUGUUGCGGCGCACGGACGAGCUGCUGGAGGCGGCGCCGGCGGCGCGGGAGGCGGUGGAGGCGCGCGUGGCGGCGGCGGUGACGUGGGCGGCGCCGGCGCCGGAGGAGUGGGCGCGCGGGGUGCGCGUGCGGCUGGAGCACUUCCGGCGCGUGACGCACGUGGCGUGGCACGGGCGCGGCGACUACGUGCUGGUGACGCUGGCGGACGCGGCGGCGCGGGCGGUGGUGGUGCACCAGCUGUCGCGGCGCCGCUCGCAGCUGCCGUUCACGCGCAGCAAGGGGCUCGUGCAGUGCGCGCUCUUCCACCCCUCGCGACCCCUCAUCUUCGUUGCCACAACCGGCCGGUAUAGUGAUGUUGUGUGGCGCAGACGCAGCGCGUGGUGCGCGUGUACGACCUGGUGAAGCAGGAGCUGGUGCGCAAGCUGCUGACGGGCGCGCAGUGGGUCAGCCACCUGGCCCUGCACCCCGCCGGCGACAACCUGCUCGUCGCCUCCUACGACAGGAAGUGCGUCUGGUUCGACCUGGAGCUGUCGUCGAAGCCGUACCAGACGCUGCGGCUGCACGGCGGCGCGGUGCGCAGCGUGGCCUUCCACCGCCGCUACCCGCUGUUCGCGUCCGCCGGCGACGACGCGCACAUCGUCGUCUCGCACG
rnacentral:misc_RNA from 1 species